CUUCCUCCUCCAGUGGUGGGAUAUGAGCCACCGGCAAGGAGGGACGCCAAUAAGGUGUCCGAUAAGAUAAGUCUUAUAAAAUAUAUAGAUUUAUGAUAAUUAAGACUGAGCUAGCAGAUGAGAAUCCUAGUCAUUGGACAAGCAGCUUUGAACCUAAAAAAAAAAAAAAAAAGAAAGCCUCAUGAACAAAUGCUCUACUGUGUCUUCCUGGAUACAUUUGAUAGAGAGCUGAAAAUGACUUUGAAAUUCUGAUACCCCUGCCUCUACUUCUCAAGCACUGCUGCUGUUGGACCCAGAGCACUGUGCAAGUUACUUAAGGACUGUACCACGUGAGUCUCAUGCCAAACCCAUGAACAGACUUAAAACAAACUAAAGUAGCACACAGAAAUACAUUAGUUAGUACAAGUUCCACAAGGAGGGACACCAACUAUGCAUUUAUGAGGAACUAGCAUAAUGGUUUUGCCUUUGUUAGUGUGUUUUGGGACAUCACAUGGAUAUUAAUACUCUUUA
rnacentral:lncRNA from 1 species